rnacentral:rRNA from 1 species
GCUUAACUGUGGGCUUGCGGUCGAUACGGGCAGACUUGAGUUCGGCAGGGGAGACUGGAAUUCCUGGUGUAGCGGUGAAAUGCGCAGAUAUCAGGAGGAACACCGGUGGCGAAGGCGGGUCUCUGGGCCGAUACUGACGCUGAGGAGCGAAAGCGUGGGGAGCGAACAGGAUUAGAUACCCUGGUAGUCCACGCCGUAAACGGUGGGCGCUAGGUGUGGGGACUGGUUCCACGGUUUCCGUGCCGUAGCUAACGCAUUAAGCGCCCCGCCUGGGGAGUACGGCCGCAAGGCUAAAACUCAAAGGAAUUGACGGGGGCCCGCACAAGCGGCGGAGCAUGUGGAUUAAUUCGAUGCAACGCGAAGAACCUUACCUGGGUUUGACAUGCACUGGAUCGCCCUAGAGAUAGGGUUUCCCUUGUGGCUGGUGCACAGGUGGUGCAUGGCUGUUGUCAGCUCGUGUCGUGAGAUGUUGGGUUAAGUCCCGCAACGAGCGCAACCCUUGCCCCAUGUUGCCAGCGGUUCGGCCGGGGACUCGUGGGGGACUGCCGGGGUCAACUCGGAGGAAGGUGGGGAUGACGUCAAGUCAUCAUGCCCCUUAUGCCCAGGGCUUCACACAUGCUACAAUGGCCGGUACAGAG